UUUCCGUAGGUGAACCUGCGGAAGGAUCAUUAUUGAAUAGCGGAGGUGCGAGGGCUUUCGCUUACCCGAAAAGUCGGGCACGACCGACAGCGCUGACACAUCUCCAUCUAGCCCCUACGUCCAACACCACGUAUGUCCCCCUUUUUCUUCUGCGGAAGGUGGUGUACGUAUUAACUCAAACUUUAUAUUCCGUGUACGAUGUAUUUUUUGUUUUUGCGAUCACACAAUCAAUCCAACUUGCAACAACGGACCCCUUGCCUCACUCACCGAUGAAGAACC
rnacentral:misc_RNA from 1 species